GCCUUCUUCAGCAGCACUUAUACUAAAAUUGGAAGGAUACAGAGAAGGUUAGCAUAGCUCCUGCACAAGGAUGGCAAACAAAUCUGGGAAGUGCUCCAUUUUUUU
ensembl:snRNA U6 U6 spliceosomal RNA